rnacentral:rRNA from 1 species
AGCGUGGAGACAGGUGGUGCAUGGCUGUCGUCAGCUCGUGUCGUGAGAUGUUGGGUUAAGUCCCGCAACGAGCGCAACCCUCACCCCUUGUUGCUACCAGGUAAAGCUGGGCACUCCAGGGGAACUGCCCCGGUCAACGGGGAGGAAGGCGGGGAUGACGUCAAGUCAUCAUGCCCCUUACGUCCUGGGCUACACACGUGCUACAAUGGCCGGUACAAAGGGAUGCCACACCGCGAGGUAGAGCUAAACCCAAAAAGCCGGUCUAAGUUCAGAUUGGAGUCUGCAACUCGACUCCAUGAAGGAGGAAUCGCUAGUAAUCGCGUAUCAGCACGACGCGGUGAAUACGUUCCCGGGCCUUGUACACACCGCCCGUCACACCACGAAAGCCAGCUGUACUCGAAGUCGCUGAG